CAGGCAGCUGCGGGACCGCUAUAGCCGGCCCUGCGCUCGGGCCCUUCCCGGGCAGGAAACGCGUCGCUGUCCCCGGCUGCGCCCAGGCCAGCGGGCACAGCAGCUGCGAACCGCCGGCGCACCACCUGUUUCCGCGCCCGGGGACUUCCCCGGCGGGGCUCAGAAGUGUGGGGUCGGUCGCUUGGCUUCCCCUGGCGUCGGCGACCCAGGGUAACCUCCUCCACUGCUGCGUGCCGUGCAGGCCUGCCUGUGUGAGAGCCACGUGUGCCGCGCUCUGGGCACAGCCUUGGAAAGUCAGGACCGCGACGGCAGCAGAGCAUGAUUUAAAAAUCCCUUGAUGACUCCCUGAAAAAUGACUGAUGUUUUUCCUAUAUUAAGUAAUUUCUGCUGGUAAAGUGUA
rnacentral:lncRNA from 1 species